CAAAGUGACAGGUGGUGCAUGGUUGUCGUCAGCUCGUGUCGUGAGAUGUUGGGUUAAGUCCCGCAACGAGCGCAACCCUUGAUUUUAGUUGCCAGCAUUUAGUUGGGCACUCUAAAGUGACUGCCGGUGCAAGCCGGAGGAAGGUGGGGAUGACGUCAAAUCAUCAUGCCCCUUAUGACCUGGGCUACACACGUGCUACAAUGGAUAGUACAAAGGGUCGCGAAGCCGCGAGGUGGAGCUAAUCCCAUAAAACUAUUCUCAGUUCGGAUUGUAGGCUGCAACUCGCCUACAUGAAGCCGGAAUCGCUAGUAAUCGUGGAUCAGCAUGCCACGGUGAAUACGUUCCCGGGCCUUGUACACACCGCCCGUCACACCACGAGAGUUUGUAACACCCGAAGUCGGUAGGGUAACCUUUAUGGAGCCAGCCGCCGAAGGUGGGACAGAUAAUUGGGGUGAAGUCGUAACAAGGUAGCCGUAUCGGAAGGUGCGGCUGGAUCACCUCCUUUCUAAGGAA
rnacentral:rRNA from 1 species